AUAUGUUCUGUAAAUUAAGACAAAUGUAAAAUAAAAAAAGACUUGUUUUACACUGAUAUUAAGUAAGAUGGUUUUUCUUGUUGUUUUUAUUGUUUAGGUACAAAGCAGCAGACGGCCCAGUUAAUGAAGCUCAGGGCUGAGAACCACCACCUUUUUACUGGAGCUAAAAACUCAGCCAUCGUGGCUUGGAGGACAAUUCUGGAGAAGAUGGACCAACAGGUGAAGGUCAGCCCCUUGCAGGACAAAAAAAAGUGGGACAAUAUGAAAAAGAAAUAUAAAGUUUGUUCAGAAGUUCUCAUGUCACACACAAAUAAAAAAUAUUUCUAAAAGU